UACGUAGGGAGCGAGCGUUAUCCGGAUUUAUUGGGUGUAAAGGGUGCGUAGACGGGAAAUUAAGUUAGUUGUGAAAUCCCUCGGCUUAACUGAGGAACUGCAACUAAAACUGGUUUUCUUGAGUACUGGAGAGGGAAGUGGAAUUCCUAGUGUAGCGGUGAAAUGCGUAGAUAUUAGGAGGAACACCAGUGGCGAAGGCGACUUUCUGGACAGAAACUGACGUUGAGGCACGAAAGUGUGGGGAGCAAACAGGAUUAGAUACCCCUGUAGUCCCUGAGCGGGCUGGCAA
rnacentral:rRNA from 1 species